rnacentral:rRNA from 1 species
UGGGGAAUAUUGCACAAUGGGCGCAAGCCUGAUGCAGCCAUGCCGCGUGUAUGAAGAAGGCCUUCGGGUUGUAAAGUCCUUUCAGAGGGGAGGAAGGCGAUGUGGUUAAUAACCGCGUCGAUUGACGUUACCCGCAGAAGAAGCACCGGCUAACUCCGUGCCAGCAGCCGCGGUCAUACGGAGGGUGCAAGCGUUAAUCGGAAUUACUGGGCGUAAAGCGCACGCAGGCGGUCUGUCAAGUCGGAUGUGAAAUCCCCGGGCUCAACCUGGGAACUGCAUCCGAAACUGGCAGGCUUGAGUCUCGUAGAGGGGGGUAGAAUUCCAGGUGUAGCGGUGAAAUGCGUAGAGAUCUGGAGGAAUACCGGUGGCGAAGGCGGCCCCCUGGACGAAGACUGACGCUCAGGUGCGAAAGCGUGGGGAGCAAACA